rnacentral:rRNA from 1 species
GAUGAACGCUAGCGGCAGGCUUAACACAUGCAAGUCGAGGGGCAGCAUGAGACGGAGAUUCGUCGAAGUCUUGAUGGCGACCGGCGCAAGGGUGCGUAACGCGUGAGCAACUUGCCCGUUUCAGGGGGAUAACCGGUGGAAACGCCGACUAAUACCCCAUAGUAUGUUUUUAAGGCAUCUUUUAAACAUUAAAGAAUUUCGGAAACGGAUAGGCUCGCGUGACAUUAGCUAGCUGGCGGGGUAACGGCCCACCAUGGCGACGAUGUCUAGGGGUUCUGAGAGGAAGGUGCCCCACACUGGAACUGAGACACGGUCCAGACUCCUACGGGAGGCAGCAGUGAGGAAUAUUGGUCAAUGGUCUGACGACUGAACCAGCCAUGCCGCGUGAAGGUGACGGCCCUAUGGGUCUUAAACUUCUUUUGUAAGGGAGCAAUAAGAGCUACGUGUAGCUUGAUGAGAGUACCUUACGAAUAAGCAUCGGCUAACUCCGUGCCAGCCGCCGCCGUAACAC